CAUUGAAGGCCGCAAUUAAGAGUCUCCCUCUAUCUGUGCCCUUUGCAAUGUGACCUUGCAGAUUCUUCCAUCAAGAGCUUAUAUAUAAACAUUUUACAGAGAACUGUCUUCAGAAGGUAACGUGCGUGGAUUGUUGCCUCCUGAAUGCACGCAAAAGACUUUGUUCUACAACAAAGCCAUGGGCCACCGUGUAACUGUUAACCUAAGUGAUAAUCUGUUGAAAAAGAUACCUCAAUCAACUGACAUAAAACAUCAUGUUUUAUCAUGUUCCCUCAUGCCUAUAGACAUGUUUUGGGUGGAAUCACGAGAAGAAGAAACGGACAGCGUCUCUGAACCAAUUUCACUGCCCUCUACUGGGGUGACGCGGAUGGUGGUGAUUCCAUGAUGGUGAUGCUCAUCAUUAUCAAUGUUGCUUCUCUUGCGAUCUCCAGAGCCAAAACUGUCUUUCAGGGACUCACAGCUUUCUGAGUCCCUAUUGAGAUCGUUGAGCUCAUAAGUUUGGCGAAGGCUGCCUUUUUCAGGGGCUUUCCAUUUCCAGGAGCCACUGCCUUCGCCUUCGGUG